UAUCCCUCAAAUGUUUGGCAUUUGUAAUUUCUCAUUGCUCAUUUGCAGACAGUUUUCUACGAAAAUGGCGCGUUUUUUAGCUGAAUAUUGUGUUUGUGUGAAAGUACGGCUUGAUAUAAUCCCUUCCUGUAAUAUAUUAAGAGAAAUGUAAAGGUGUGGCGCGGCCAUACAUUGGCAUAAAGGAGGGCAUCUUUUUUAAAUGGCGUAUUCCAUGGUCUUGGAAAUGGAGAUGUUCUACAAUCUUUUAGAAAUGUGAUGCCGCUAUUGAUUGCCACAAAGGCCUUCUUAAAUUGUCAUCGUCUUGGAAACGGAAUCCAACUACGCAAGCAGCAAUGCAUCCAAAGGAGUGAGAAACCAUACCAGGACAUUAUUCAAAAAUUAAAUUUGGAAACGUAAUCGGCGCGGAAGAAUAAAAAAUAGGCCAACAAGCAAAGAUGCUACAAUCCUGCAAAUGUAAUUUAUGGGCAUAAUUAAUGCUAUGAAAAUUUAUUAUUGAAAUUAAAUAAAACGAAAUAUCACCGACAUUAGCCAUGUAGAAUUUAAUGGU